rnacentral:tRNA from 1 species
GGCAUAUAGCUCAGUUGGUAAAGUGUUUGCCUGGCAUGCAGAGACUCUAGGUCCUAUUCCUAGCACUGCCU